rnacentral:rRNA from 1 species
GUCCUAGCUGUAAACGAUGGGCACUGGGUAGGGGGGGUGUCGAUACUCUCCCUGCCGUAGCAAAUGUGAUAAGUGCCCCGCCUGGGGAGUACGGUCGCAAGGCUAAAACUCAAAGGAAUUGACGGGGGCUCACACAAGCGGUGGAGCAUGUGGUUCAAUUCGAAGCAACGCGAAGAACCUUACCCGGGUUAGAAAUCCACGGAUGGGUCCGGUGAAAGCUGGAUACCCUGCCCGCAAGGGUGAAACGUGGACAGGUGUUGCAUGGCUGUCGU